rnacentral:lncRNA from 1 species
AUAAUUGAGAACUUGCUAUCUUUGAAAGGACCUUCCAGGGUAAGGCCUGUCUUUGUGCUGCACAGGAACGCACAAAGGCUUUCUCUCGGACACUGCUAUGACUUCAAAUGGACUUCUUUGUGAUGCAGGACUGCAGUAGCUUGCUCUGCACCUGUGUGACAGGUUGUUAUAUCACCUGAGUGUUAGGUUGGAAAUUCUACACAAACUUUCCUGAAGAGCAGAGAGGGAGACAUAGACUUCACCAGAAGAAACUGUCCUAGGCAGUCCCUGCCCUCCUGCUAUGCCAGUUUGAUUAGAAGCCUGGUAUAUUGUGGGGAGAACAAGCGGGAUGAAGUGUGUGGUUAUUAG